GGAGAGUAGAGGAAAGACAGGAGAUGGUUGUUGGCAAGGGCAGGGCGACCGUCCGGCCGAGGCCCGACGUGCUGGGCUGGGGGGUGGGCGGUGCCCACUUGAAGUUCAAGGUCAUAAACUUAACUGGAGCCAAUCCAAAUCCACUGCCCAAGCAAAAGCGUAUCUAAGAAAAAGAAAAAUAACUCGAAGCCUCCAAGACACAUAAAAUCCAGAAUGGACUGACAACGGUGAAGAAGGGUAGAGCUUUUCAGAAAGAUGACCCUCGAUUCAGGGCUUAGCCAUUCUUGUACAUGGAGCCAAGUUCAUUUUACCCGCAACUGACUUACAAGUGUCUCAUAACUCUGGACUCGUAACGGACACCACAAAAGCCCGUUCAAUGUCCAGUUGCUGGGAUGAGCCUAGUGGACAAAACGUCAAGCCAAUGGCAUGAGGACUGUGGUUUCAAUCAAGACCUGUCCCCCCAGAGCAGGGCUGCCCCAGCCCAUCCAUCUGGCAUCUCCGAGUAUCGGCAUCUUCUCUGAAAAUGAGAAUCAGAAGGUGUGUGAGCAAAGUUUGUUGUGUUAAUCGAAAAUAUGUUAAUUUUCUGCAUUUCAAUAACUUCAAGCUUAGCCUGAGAACCUUCCAAGCUGUAGAAAACCUCCUUGACUAAGAGUCCACCUGCACAAGGACCUCCGCCUUCUGAACACAAACGAGCUGGAAUAGACCAUAAAGAAGGAGGGGGACCCUGGGGCCAGGAAGCUGGUCCUUCACAAGUAGGUCAGUGAUGGGGAUGCAGCUGGGGGCACAUGACACGAUGACAUUUCAUCUGGGUCUGAAAUACUCAGGCCCAGGCCCCCGAGAGUCCUGCAAACAGCGAAUCAGAAGGACCGCAGAGACUGAACAGGUGGCUCUUGGCUGCUUGGAUGAGGGAGGGGAGAGGAGAGAGAAGAUGCUGGGGGCCACCCCAGGGGCCCUGCGCUGGAGACAGGUCCCGGGGCCCAGACUGUCUCACCCGAGAUGCAUCUUCCAUAACCUCCUUGGCAAGUCAGUCCUGAGCAUGAGCCUAGAGAAACCCCUUCACCAGGCCUGCCGUGGAGAAGGCCCUUCAAAGCCUCCCUCAGAAGAACGAGAAGCAUCCAAUGCUCCAUCAGUGGUGCCAUUACUAAUCAAAUUUAAAAGGAUUAAUGAGGGACCUCCCGUCAUGGCGCAGCGGACACGAAUCCGACUAGGAACCGUAAGGUUGUCGGUUCGAUCCCAGGCCCCGCUCAAUGGGUUAAGGAUCCAGCGUUGCCAUGAGCUGUGGUGUAGGUCGUGGACGCGGCUUGAAUCUGGCGUUACUGUGGCUGUGCCACAAGCUGACAGCUAUAGCUCCGAUAAGACCCCGAGUCUGGGAACCUCCACAUGCUGCAAGUGUGGCCCUAAAAAGACAAAAAGACUAAAAUAAAAUAAAAAUAAAACAAAAUAAAAUAAAAAGUUUAAAAUAAAGUAGGAAAGCCUCUUGGAGGAAAGAAUGAAAGAUCUGUGUUAUAGUGACAAUGACAGAAAUGAAAAGCAUUUUGCCAAGAUUUUGCACCUGUGACAAGCCAGGCCAAGUCACAGACUUCGAAAAGAAUGGGCUCCUUUGGACGGGCGUGUCUGCACACCGAGGUCUAACCACUGGGGCAGUUCUACCCUAUUAGGUGAAGAAGAAACCCCCUCAUCUUGUUGUGGCUUGUGCCGCCCUGCAGGGCUGGGAUUGGGCAGAGAAAGCCUGUGUUUACGUGCGACUUUAAUUUGAUUUACUGUCCCUGACAAGCCCGCCUGAACCCAGCGCUCUGUCUCAGCAGGGUCCCUGCCUCGCCUCUCCUGCUCUGCAAGAACUCGAAAGCAGGAGCUGGCAGGUGGAUGCCGAGGGGGACUUCGCCUCCCUUCAUGCUUGCCCAGGGCAAGUGGAACCAAGCCCGACUGCUUCAGAACCUUUCCUGGGCACGGGCUAAAGGCGCUUGGUGUCACGGUGUCACUGGAGGUGGCCUGAGGGGCAGACAGAUUCACCAGCGAUGGCUGCAUCUUGGGAGCUCAGCUCUGUGAAGCGGCAGUGUCAGCCCCGUGCGAGCUCCCCGCCAUCUGGGGAGGGGACACUGUGCUUGGAAAGUCAGAAGACAGGAAAGCAUCUGCGCCCUCCUCCUCCCGAGGCCCUCAGUGUCCUGCCUCCUCUCUGAGGCUGUCUGUGUUCAAACCUGCCCUGGGCCCUGUCACCGGAACAAAAGAUGGAAUUUCGCAUUUCUACCUCCUCAUUUCCUAGAAUUUCAGCUGCCUUCAUGGUUCUCC
rnacentral:lncRNA from 1 species